GACGAACGCUGGCGGCGUGCUUAACACAUGCAAGUCGAACGGAAAGGCCCUGCUUGCAGGGUACUCGAGUGGCGAACGGGUGAGUAACACGUGGGUGAUCUGCCCUGCACUUCGGGAUAAGCCUGGGAAACUGGGUCUAAUACCGGAUAGGAGCCAUUUUUAGUGUGAUGGUUGGAAAGUUUUUUCGGUGUAGGAUGAGCUCGCGGCCUAUCAGCUUGUUGGUGGGGUAAUGGCCUACCAAGGCGGCGACGGGUAGCCGGCCUGAGAGGGUGGACGGCCACAUUGGGACUGAGAUGCGGCCGAGACUCCUACGGGAGGCAGCAGUGCGGAAUAUUGCACAAUGGGCGCAAGCCUGAUGCAGCGACGCCGCGUGGGGGAUGACGGCCUUCGGGUUGGAAACUCCUUUCGCUAGGGACGAAGCUUUUUGUGACGGUACCUAGAGAAGAAGCACCGGCUAACUACGUG
rnacentral:rRNA from 1 species